AUAUCAAUAAGCGGAGGAAAAGAAACCAACAGGGAUUGCCUCAGUAACGGCGAGUGAAGCGGCAACAGCUCAAAUUUGAAAUCUGGCUUCUUUGGAGCCCGAGUUGUAAUUUGUAGAGGAUGUUUCGGGUACCGCAACGGCUUAAAUUUCUUGGAACAGAAUGUCAAGGAGGGUGAGAAUCCCGUCUGGAGUCGCGGUAGGGCCCAUGUGAAACUCCUUCGACGAGUCGAGUUGUUUGGGAAUGCAGCUCAAAAUGGGUGGUAAAUUUCAUCUAAAGCUAAAUAUUGGCCAGAGACCGAUAGCGCACAAGUA
rnacentral:rRNA from 1 species